UGGUCAAGCGAGAUAUUAGUGCGGUUCAAUCAAAUAGUCUCACUCUUAGUUGAUAGAGAUUGAUUUUGUUCGAUUGAGCCGUGCCAAUAUCACGCAUAUAACCA